AGUGAACGCUGGCGGUAGGCCUAACACAUGCAAGUCGAACGGCAGCACAGUAAGAGCUUGCUCUUACGGGUGGCGAGUGGCGGACGGGUGAGGAAUACAUCGGAAUCUACUUUUUCGUGGGGGAUAACGUAGGGAAACUUACGCUAAUACCGCAUACGACCUACGGGUGAAAGCAGGGGAUCUUCGGACCUUGCGCGAUUGAAUGAGCCGAUGUCGGAUUAGCUAGUUGGCGGGGUAAAGGCCCACCAAGGCGACGAUCCGUAGCUGGUCUGAGAGGGUGAUCAGCCACACUGGAACUGAGACACGGUCUAGACUCCUACGGGAGGCAGCAGUGGGGAAUAUUGGACAAUGGGCGCAAGCCUGAUCCAGCCAUACCGCGUGGGUGAAGAAGGCCUUCGGGUUGUAAAGCCCUUUUGUUGGGAAAGAAAAGCAGCAGGUUAAUACCCCGCUGUUCUGACGGUACCCAAAGAAUAAGCACCGGCUAACUUCGUG
rnacentral:rRNA from 1 species